UGGUGGGUAGUUUGACUGGGGCGGUCUCCUCCCAAAGAGUAACGGAGGAGCACGAAGGUUAGCUAAUCCUGGUCGGACAUCAGGAGGUUAGUGCAAUGGCAUAAGCUAGCUUGACUGCGAGAGUGACGGCUCGAGCAGGUGCGAAAGCAGGUCAUAGUGAUCCGGUGGUUCUGAAUGGAAGGGCCAUCGCUCAACGGAUAAAAGGUACUCCGGGGAUAACAGGCUGAUACCGCCCAAGAGUUCAUAUCGACGGCGGUGUUUGGCACCUCGAUGUCGGCUCAUCACAUCCUGGGGCUGAAGUAGGUCCCAAGGGUAUGGCUGUUCGCCAUUUAAAGUGGUACGCGAGCUGGGUUUAGAACGUCGUGAGACAGUUCGGUCCCUAUCUGCCGUGGGCGCUGGAGAAUUGAGGGGGGCUGCUCCUAGUACGAGAGGACCGGAGUGGACGCAUCACUGGUGUUCGGGUUGUCAUGCCAAUGGCACUGCCCGGUAGCUAAAUGCGGAAGAGAUAAGUGCUGAAAGCAUCUAAGCACGAAACUUGCCCCGAGAUGAGUUCUCCCUGAGACUUUAAGUCUCCUGAAGGAACGUUGAAGACUACGACGUUGAUAGGUCGGGUGUGUAAGCGCAGCGAUGCGUUGAGCUAACCGAUACUAAUGAACCGUGAGG
rnacentral:rRNA from 1 species